rnacentral:rRNA from 1 species
CAGCAGCCGCGGUAAUACAGAGGAUGCAAGCGUUAUUCGGAAUCACUGGGCUUAAAGCGCGUGUAGGCGGGCCGCCACGUCGGCUGCUGAAAUCCCCCGGCUCAACCGGGGAAGUGGCACCGAUACGAGCGGCCUCGAGGGGGGUAGGGGGCACUGGAACUUCCGGUGGAGCGGUGAAAUGCGUUGAGAUCGGAAGGAACGCCCGUGGCGAAGGCGACUCUCUGGUCUGUAACUGACGCUGAGGAGCGAAAGCGUGGGGAGCGAACAGGAUUAGAUACCCCUGUAGUCCCUGUCUCUUAUA